AAUUUAAAAUAUUAUUUUUUAAUAAAAUUCUCCUAGUCUAAAAAUGAAAAAUAAAACAAACAACAUUUAAAUUCGAUAUAAAAAAAAGACAAAAGUCCUGAAAGCAAUAGAAAAAAUAGAAAAAUCACUUAAAAUUAUAAAAUAAUCAAGCAAGAAAUGGAAUUUCUAAUUCGAUCAUGAGGCAGGACGAUAAUAGCGGUUUUGGAUUUGUCUCGUCUUGUAAUAAGUUUUGCAAUAAUAUAUUAUACACAAAAAAACGAACAUAUAUAUCCUUAGGUUACAAAUUCCAAAAAUUACUCUACUAUCCUACAUUAACGUCCUACUUCAAAAUCCUAUUUCCUUUUUUCAAUUAUUUGUAAUUAAUUAUUGUGUUUUAUAAUAGUCAUGCAAUGCACGUAAUGAAGAAUCAACUUGUGGUGGUGAACUCAUCAUUGAAUUUGAAUUGAUUGAGUGUUAAAUAACUUUUUGUAAUUUUUUAUCAUGCGGGUACUUAUAGUGAUAUAUAGUUAAGAAUUAAUUACAUGUUAUUUAUUAUCCAAUAACUACUAAUUAUACUAUUUCAAAAAAGCUCGCCUACAAAGCUCAUUGAAGUAUUUAAUUCAAAGCUCAUUACCAAGUACUUCUACAAAAAUUUGGAUAACAUAUUGUUUAGGACCUGUCUACCUUACAGAUUCUGUAACAUACGCACCCAAUGCAUGCACCACACCUGUCCUGCAUAUGGAGAAAAAGCAUGCAAUUGUUUUUGUUUGGUAGCUAGCUAACCAAUCAGGAGCUGGCUAAGUUGGAUCUGUAUGUUACAGAAUCUGUAACUUAGCUAGCUCCUAUUGUUUAAAGUUAAAACGCAGCACUUAAGAUCUUUAUCCUUUCAAAUAUGUUAAGCCAUAAUUUAAGUUUGGGGAACCCACCCUAUAUUAAAAUCAAUCUUGAAAUUUAUUUAUUUAUUAUUAUUAUAUAUAUUAGGUCAAGAGAUUAUUUAGUUUAAGAAAUUUAAUUUAAUUUAAUUAGGUCUUGAGAUAACUUAUCAUAUAGGGUAUUGUUAAGUUAAAUCAUAUAAAACAUAUAGCAAAUCCAAAAAUAGUUUCCCAUGACCUCCUACUUAUUUCAAAUAUUACCAUUUUUUGGUGAGACUAUUUGAAUCCACCAAAUUUCUCUCUAUACUAAUUUUAAAAAAUAAAUUCAUUAUUAAAAAUUUAAAAUUUUAAAAUCUCAAAAAUACCUUUCACUAAUCACUUUCUCUCUCUAUCUUAUAAUUGCCUAUUCUUUUCUACUCUCACAUUUGGCAAACUAAACACUCAUCUUCACUUCCUUUUUAAUUUAUUUUUUUAGCAUUUCUUAAUAUAUCAUGGUCUAUAUUCCAUACUUUUAGUAUAUAAGUUUUUUUUUCGGACGAAGCUACGGUGCCCCGGGUGCAUGGUACCCUUGUUUUUGGUAAAUUACUUUGCAAGCCCUCUUAUUUGCUGAAAAGUGAAAAAAUUAAAAGUUUUGAAAUUUUAAUAUAUAAGUCCAAAAUAUUUCUACUAUUUACACUUAAGAGUAUAUUUCUAUUAUUUAUAUUUGAAUACUAAACCAUAAUUGAUUAUUAUGAAAUUUUUUAACAUUGUCAUUUGGUCAUAUUAUUAUUGAUAAAUUAAAAUUUAAUUACAUAUUUAAAUUAUUUAUUAUUGAUUAAAUGAAUUUUAUAUUGUUUCUAAAAAUUGUUUAAUAUUAUUGAUAAAUUAAUGUAUUUGAUUAUAUAUUUAAAUUAUUUAUUACAUAUUAAAUUAAUAUUAUAUUAUUUUCAAAAAAAAUUAUGCAUUAAUUUUUUUUUCAAGUUAUUGGCCUUAUAUUGUCAUUAAUUUUAAUAGUAAAUUAGAUCACUUGAUCAAAAUAUAAAAUUUUAAAAUUAUCCAAAAUUAUUUAUCAAACUUUUGAUCAUUUUGCUUUUUUGAAAAACAAUAGAGAUGUCAAUGUUAAAAGCCAAAUAGAAUACAUCCAUGCUGUUGAAGCAAGUUUUGCGUUAGAUCUAAUGGGCAACUCAUAUAUGGAUAAAAUAUGGGGUAACAUGCACCAAGUGAACGGUAGCUGGACCCUUUUUUUAAAUCACACUACUUCAUAGACCAAAGAAUCAAUAGUAGGACUUUUGUCGAUCAAAAAAUCUACUUCUAAAAUAUGAUGGUUUUAAACUUUUAAUUAAAACUAUUUUAUUAGGUUAGAGUUUAUGAAAAAAAGGAAACAAAAAUAGAGGAUAGAGUUCAUGGGUGCUAAACUGCUAAUUAUAAAUAAAGAAAGAACAUAAAUAAAGAAGAUAAUAGUAUCAAAAUAAAAACAUAUUUAAUUAAAUAUACCUUACGAAUUACGCAACUUGUUCAUUAAUAAUAUUAUUAGAAACAUUUAAUUUAGGCAUAUGCAUGUUCGUUAUGGUCAUAUAUUAUUAUUGUUAACAAAUUAAUAUUUUUUAUCAGGUAUUAUUUUUUAAUUGACAUAUUCAAAUAAUUAUUGUAUAUUAAAUAGAUAUUAUGUUAACAAAAUAUUUUUUAAGGCGUGUUAAUUUUUCGUGCAUUUUAAAAUUUAUACAUGAGAUUACAUUAUUAUCCAUACAUUAUACUCAUGCUAAUAGUCAAACUAGGUCAAUAGAUUUAAUUGUAAAAAAAAUUGAAACAAUCUGGACAUAUAUGUCAACAUUUAGAAACUUUUACCUUUUUUAAUUUUUCAGAAAACAUCAGGGAUGACAAUGUUAAUAACCAUGCAAACCCAUCUGCACGGCCAUGCAACUCUUUGGUUAGAUUUAAUCAUUAAAUCACUAAAUGACAAAAUAGGGGUACCAAACACCAGUUGCAAAGUAGCAGGACCCUUUUUUUUCUUGAUAUUUAGUAGCUUUCAUGUUUGAUAAAAGUCAAUUUCUUAGAUGUUCAUCAACUUUUAUGACUCAUGAAAAUUUGUUGAUGUUCAUUUUCAAAUGAGGGGUUUUGUUUCUCUUAAUUAGUGAUAACAAUUAUUUAUAGGUAAAAGAAUAUAUCUGAAUGAAUUGAUGAGAAUUUAUAAAAUUGAGAAGAGAAAGAGAAGAAAAAGUAAAAAAAAAAAAGAAUAAAAUUUUUAAAAUUAUUUAAAUAAUAAAAUUUUUAAUAAAAAGGAGGAUGUGGAGAGAGAAUUGAUGGGUUUAAAUAGUUGAGUAAUAUUAUAUAUAACUUAAUAUAGCUGCCUGUUAUAUAAUGUGAUCGAAUAUGACGUAUGUAUUAUGAUGAUGAUGCAUCUUUGCACGAUAUUCAUUCAUCCUCCUGAUAGCGAAAUCUAAUUGUGUUCCGUGUAUCCAACUAAUGGUUAAAUGGAACAACAAGAUGGAUGGCCUCAUGGUAACAACAGCCGACACAACGACCGCCAAAGAUGAGUUUGUGUGCAAUUUGUCAACUAAAAAUGACAAUAAUGAUAAUAAUUAACAAUAAAGAAAGAAAGUGGAAGUAUAACAGUCGGCGAUAGCGGAGGAUUGAUUCUGUGCCUAUGGAUAAAGACAAAGGCUUGGGGUUAACGUUUGAUUUGUGCCGAACGCUGCCACUAUACGCGGACAACGCUAUAACAAGUGUCACGCACCCAUAACAUGAUUAACUUAGACGCACUGUGCAGCCGUGGAUCGGAUCCUUAUCCAAACUUAACCCAUUUCUCUUUUAUUAUGCAUCCAUUCAAAGUUGUACAAGAUUGCAUUUACAAUUUUCUUUUUUAAUUAUAAAUCAAUUAAGUGUUGAAAUUUCCGUUUUGUUUUAGUAGAAUUGAUCCGAUCUAGAUUCAUGAUGAUUAUAAAUACAUCAAACAAAAAUACCAAGUUACUUUUCUUACUUGGGAUUCUAUUAAAAUUAAAAUUAAAAUUACGUUUAUUAUAAUCAAUCAAUAAUUUAUUUCUUACACUCUCAAAACACUUUGGAACAAAUAAUUUCUUUAACAUAAGCAGAUUUUAAAGAAUGUAAGUAUGUAACAACUAAUUCAUUGAUUUUACAGCUAGUUCUUUAAUGCAAUGCACGAAUAUAUGAUGACAUGUGACGUAGUGAUAAGGACUUCUAUGCUUGUGGUUUUGUCCAAAAAAAAAAAAAAAAAACAGAUUGCGUUUACUAAUCGGUAAUUGAAAUAAUUUAGAAUUAGAAAUGAACUGAAAUCGGAAUGAGAAAUGAGAAUCGAAAUAAAUAAUUUGCUUCAGUUGUAGGAAUCAGAAUCGAAAUGAACUAUAUUGCCAUUAAUUUGUUUACUUUGUCUGGGAAUCGAAAUGUAUUAUUAUAAGUUAUUAGAAUAACCUUAGUUGAUUAUCAUUAUUAUUUAAUAUGAUAAAUGUGGUUAUUAUUAUUCAAAAUAAUUA
rnacentral:lncRNA from 1 species